UGGGGAAUAUUGCGCAAUGGGGGGAACCCUGACGCAGCCAUGCCGCGUGAAUGAAGAAGGCCUUCGGGUUGUAAAGUUCUUUCGGUAUUGAGGAAGGUUGAUGUGUUAAUAGCACAUCAAAUUGACGUUAAAUACAGAAGAAGCACCGGCUAACUCCGUGCCAGCAGCCGCGGUAAUACGGAGGGUGCGAGCGUUAAUCGGAAUAACUGGGCGUAAAGGGCACGCAGGCGGUUAUUUAAGUGAGGUGUGAAAGCCCUGGGCUUAACCUAGGAAUUGCAUUUCAGACUGGGUAACUAGAGUACUUUAGGGAGGGGUAGAAUUCCACGUGUAGCGGUGAAAUGCGUAGAGAUGUGGAGGAAUACCGAGGCGAAGGCAGCCCCUUGGGAAUGUACUGACGCUCAUGUGCGAAAGCGUGGGGAGCAAACAGGAUUAGAUACCCUGGUAGUCCACGCUGUAAACGCUGUCGAUUUGGGGGUUGGGGUUUAACUCUGGCGCCCGUAGCUAACGUGAUAAAUCGACCGCCUGGGGAGUACGGCCGCAAGGUUA
rnacentral:rRNA from 1 species